rnacentral:tRNA from 26 species
GGGGUGUUAGCUCAGCUGGGAGAGCACCUGCCUUGCACGCAGGGGGUCAUCGGUUCGAUCCCGAUACGCUCCACCA